rnacentral:lncRNA from 1 species
GGUAUGGGUGCGUCUGGCCUAAUCAUUUGAAAUGUUCAAAUGAUUCAAUAAUGAAAGAUUGAAACAAACUGGAUAAGGUGUUAGAACUCUUCGAUCAGAUCGAAGAGGCGAAUACUUAUCCAGUGAAUUUGUGACAUAUCUAGGAGAGAAUUGGAUUCUCUCUCACUGGAUUUUUUUUUGGAACAUAGUGUAUCUGAAAGGAGAAGUUGAACUUUGUUAGACAUGGUUCAAUCCAUGAUAGGGUUCACUUCUCUGCCAUUUCAGGAUUGUGCUCUUUUGUGAUUACUU